AUAUUAGAUGUAUAAUAAUUUAUAAAAUUAAAAUAAGUGAGAGUGUAACACAUUAAACAAUAAAACAACACUUUUUUUCAUUCGCUAGUCAUGUAUCGGAUAAAACAACCCAUCUGAUAGAAAAAAUAUAUAUGGACAAUAAAAAUAUUAAACAAUAUGAAUAAUGGAUAUAUUGGAUAUUUAAUUUAUUAGGUAUGCAGAUGAUUAUUCUAAAAUUAAGAUUUAUGAGGUAAUUUAGGAUGAAGUAUUUUUUUAUUUUAUUAGAUCAAUUUUAAAAUUCAUUAUUCACAUUAUUUAAAAAUGUUAUUGUUUAUCUAACAAAACCCUAUGUGUUAACAUGUUUUUGGGAUUGACAGAAUUUACCAAAUUUGGAGUUUAUUGACCUCCAGGGCUGCAAACGCUUGAUAGAGUGCCCAAAUUUAGCAGGUAACACGAAUCUCAAAUCAAUAUUACUCUCUGGCUGUGAAAGCUUACAAGAUGUUCAUCCAUCUAUUUUCUCUCUCCCCAAGAUUGAAAAACUAUAUGUGAGCUAUUGCACAUCGUUAAAGAGACUUUGCAGUGACUAUUGUUCUCCCUCUCUCCAUAGCUUGUCGGCCAUUUAUUGCUCCAAUUUGGAAGAGUUCUCAAUCCCCAUGAUGACUCAUCAUUCCGAAAUCAACCUAUGUUUACCAUCAACGGCUUUGAAUGAAGUGCCAUCUACUAUUAUGCAUCUCAAAAAUCUUGAGUGUUUUUUUUCUAACAUCAGUUACUCUCUUGAGAAACUUCCUCAAAACUUUGCCUCCAAAAUUGCACUCAUGGAUCCAAUAAAACAUGAAGAUGACACAUGCAUCAUCUUAAGUAGAAUAUUGCCCACCCCUGCCUUCUUGUCUCUCAAGGAAUUAAUUUUCUUCGAAUGUAAGAGGUUGUCUAAACUCCCAAACAACAUUCAUGUCUUACAAUCAUUACAAGUAUUACAACUGCGAAGUUGUCAUGUCAUUACAAGUUUGCCAAAAAGCAUUAAAAAUCUUCAACAGCUCUUACAUCUUCAGAUCGUUGAUUGUGUAAUGCUUCAAUACAUUCCUCCACUUCCCCCAUCAAUUAUAUACUUUCAAGCAGAAAACUGCAAAUCUUUGGAGGCAGUCUCAAGUUUAACAAGUGAACCACCCAGAGAAUACUAUGCAUGGUUUAUAUUCCAUAACUGCACAAAGUUGGAUGAUGAUGCAUAUGAAGCCGUUUUGAAAGACUUGAAAUCCAAGAUACAACUUGUGGUAAAUAAUGAUGGAUAUCUGCAUAAUGAAGCAAACAAUGAGAAGCUUCGAUCACUAUUGAAGUUGCUUCAGAUCACAAGAUUUCUUCUUGUCUUGUUGUCUGCAUCUUGAUUUCUAAAUACUCAUCAUGCAUCCUUACCGGGAAAGAAGUGAUAUUUAGAUGGGAAUGCUACUUGGGAAAGGGUUGCAACGAAUGGGAAUGGAUAGCAACUAUUGCCAAGAGGGUAGUCUUGGUCACCUAUGUUCCCGAUGUUUGGAUUCCUCAAUGGGAAACAUUAUCAGAUCAUAAGGUAGUGUGGUAUGAUGGAGAGUGUUCCAACAAGAUAACAGAAGCAAUCAAAGAGAGAAAGAGGGACAGCAGUUGUAAUACUAUGCUUAAAUUUGAGUUCUAUGCAAAUACAGAAGAUAAUGAGGAAGUAGUGAUAAAGGGGUGUGGGAUCCGUUGGAUGCAUGUCCAUGUCAAUCAUGAUGGAGAGAUUACUCCAGAUGCCACUCAUGAGGGCUAUGAAUCUCAUGACGUUGAGAGAAGAACAUAUCAUAUGAGAACUCCAUCCAACAAGAAAAGCUUCUCUGGGAAACACCUGUACUUCCUUUUGUUUAUUAUUGUUGUAGCAGUUAUCUAUUUGGUCACUUUAUAGCACACUUUCUCUGAGAACAUACC